AGGCCCAGAGAGGGUGUAAGGCCCGUGGAGGCGAGAUGUUCAGUACCCGGUGCGUCCUUAGAGUCGGGUUGUUUGGGAAUGCAGCCCUAAGCGGGUGGUAAACUCCAUCCAAGGCUAAAUACUAGCACGAGUCCGAUAGCGAAGAAGUACCGCGAGGGAAAGUUGAAAAGAACUUUGAAGAGAGAGUUCAAGAGUACGUGAAACCGCUGAGAGGCAAACUGGUGGAGCUGAAAUGGCUUGGAGGAAUUCAGCCGUUGGGUAUUGUCAUAACCGUGGUGCUCACGACAGCGCACUCGGACGUCGAUUCCAUAGGUGCACUUUCCUCAGCCCAACCACGACCGGUAGUGUGUGUCCAUCUUACCUGGAAGGUAGCGUUGACUUCGGUGAGCGUAUUAUAGACGUUUAUGGAGCGAUCGUGUACCGGAACAACGCCUGCCUCGAGGCUCACAUGUCGUGUCUUGUGAAUGAUUUCUGAUUUCACUACUUCGGUAGGGGAGUUGGAGUUUUUGCCUUAGGUCGGCCUCUGUGUUGGCGUUGAAGUCUGUGGUUGUGAAGUAGGUAGUCCACCUGACCCGUCUUGAAACACGGACCAAGGAGUCUAACUUGUGCGCGAGUCAUUGGGUUCUACGAAACCUAAAGGCGCAGUGAAGGUAAAGAUUUACAGUGGUAAAUUGAGGUGGGAUAUUGGGUUACGUGCUCAAUCGCACCACCGGCCCGUUCUACUUGUAGGGCGGAGCAAGAGCGUACACGUUGGGACCCGAAAGAUGGUGAACUAUGCUUGCGCAGGACGAAGCCAGAGGAAACUCUGGUGGAGGUCCGCAGCGAUUCUGACGUGCAAAUCGAUCGUCAAACGUGAGUAUAGGGGCGAAAGACUAAUCGAACCAUCUAGUAGCUGGUUCCCUUCGAAGUUUCCCUCAGGAUAGCUGGCACUCGGGAAACUAAACAGUUUUAUCCGGUAAAGCGAAUGAUUAGAGGUAUUGGGACGAAACUGCUCUCAACCUAUUCUCAAACUUUAAAUGGGUAAGAUGC
rnacentral:rRNA from 1 species